rnacentral:rRNA from 1 species
AGUGUGGGUUUAAUUCGAUGAUACGCGAGGAACCUUACCUGGGCUACAAAUGUAUGUUGACGUAUUCUAGAAAGGGAUACUUCUUCGGACAAUAUACAAGGUGCUGCAUGGUUGUCGUCAGCUCGUGCCGUGAGGUGUCGGGUUAAGUCCCAUAACGAGCGCAACCCUACCUUUAGUUGCCAUCAGGUUAAGCUGGGGACUCUAAAGGAACUGCCUACGCAAGUAGUGAGGAAGGCGGGGAUGACGUCAAAUCAGCACGGCCCUUACGUCCAGGGCUACACACGUGCUACAAUGGCCGAUACAGAGGGCAGCUACCUGGUGACAGGAUGCAAAUCUCCAAAGUCGGUCUCAGUUCGGAUCGGAGUCUGCAACCCGACUCCGUGAAGUUGGAUUCGCUAGUAAUCGCGCAUCAGCCAUGGCGCGGUGAAUACGUUCCCGGGCCUU